AAGGGAAAGCGAAGUGGUGACAUGGAGCGAACCCCAAAAAUAAACGUCUCAGUUCGGAUUGCAGGCUGCAACCCGCCUGCAUGAAGCCGGAAUCGCUAGUAAUCGCAGAUCAGAAUGCUGCGGUGAAUACGUUCCCGGGUCUUGUACACACCGCCCGUCACACCAUGGGAGUCGGAAAUGCCCGAAGCCGGUGACCAAACCAAUAAGGAAGGAGCCGUCGAAAGCAGGUCUGAUAACUGGGGUGAAGUCGUAACAAGGUAAC
rnacentral:rRNA from 1 species